CAGAUUUUGUUAUAUUGUUGGUUAAAGUUUUAUGUUUAUUUAUAAUGUUUUACAUUUAUCACAGAUGCCACCCCAACACCUCUUCAGAUAUUAUUCUUCCAUUCAGUUAUAUCUUAUAUCCGAUAUAUUUAUAUUCUGUUUUAGUAUCCAACAUUCCCGAUGCUUCUAUCACCCACUUCCAAAUGAAAAGUAUAUAUAUUUUUACAUUGCUUAACUUGCUUUUACCUCAUAUGGAUUCUUAGUAUCCAUCAUGCCCCACACCCCUCUGUUACUCCCGGCAGAUACACACACUAGCCACCACCCCCUUUAUUGUUUCUAUGAUUCCCUCUUACCAUUACACCUACUUUCCGCCCAUUACUGCACCAACUACAAAUUAAAAAAGAAAAAUAUAUAUUCUUUUUUUUUUACAUCUCCCACACUUACACAUAUCUUAAUGAUAGCUUGGUUAGCAUUUUGGAAUAGUCAAGCAGGCUGUCCUUACAACUCUUGUUCAUUUGUACAUUUUAUUUUUUGAUGAAAAUUUGAAAUUAGAAAAGAAUUCAUUUUUUCAAAGAUUUAGUGACAUUCUAUAUGAAUGUGUUUUAAAUGAUCAUGUAAAAUUGAAGUGUUCACUCAUCUAUUUUGUUGAUCUCAUAUAUCAUUUAUGUAAAAAGAAAUACUUGCUGUAUGAGUUCAUUGACAGAUUUGUAUUAAGGAAUUAUAUCAGUUACUCGUGUGUCAUGAUUUCUAGGUUCCACUCGAGAUAAAGUGAUUUUCUCGAAAUUAACUGUUAAAGAAUUGUUUUAUUUAUGUCCCAGUUGUUUAAGUCAGUUGGUGUUAAUAUCUCGGAAUGAAGGUAUACACUAACCACACACUAGAUUUACGUGUUCUGUUGAAAUAUUACACUAAUGUUAAGUAUGAUGAGGUGUCAGGUCUGUAUCUCCAAGGUCAAGGUCAUGUGACCUUAACCCACAGGCAAGGGCUGUCACAACCUCGGGGUCAAAUGUCACUAUUUUUUGUUAAUUUCUUAUUUUGUUAAUGGGUUCUCUUCCAGUUUGUUAUUUCCGCAAUAUUAUUGAUAUUUACUCCUGCAUUUAUUAUCCAGAUUUUAUAUUAAAACUGGGUGCAUUUAUAUUUUUUGUCCUUUGUUUUAAAGUUUGUUUUCUUUUCAUUGAGAAAGUGUAAAAAAUGUAUGUGGCUUGCACUCUUAAGCUUUCCACUAUUGCCAUUGAUCAAAAAAUAAUUUUGACUCAGUUUGAUUCUUAUUUUCCAAACUGUCAAAUGACCUCCGAUAAAACAUUAGUCCUUUGUAUUUAAGUCUUAUUAAUCUAGUCUUCAUAUGAAGUAUCUGUAUCAUGCUAGGGCUGUUUGUAUUCUGUGCUUGUAUUGUUUUAAGCAUUACAGUUUGUUGUGUUUUGUAAUUAGUGCCUUAGAAAUCACUGACUUAUCAUGGCACAUUAUUAGUCCCCUACUUAUCUUGUGUUAACUUGAAAAGUAGUAGAUAUGUUAUUUUUAGCUUCACUAUUCGGAAAAUAGGGGGGCUAUUCUACUCGCCCCGGCGUCGGCGUGAGCUUUCUUGGUUAAAGUUUUUCGGCAACCUUUGUUUUUCUGUCAUAUCUUUGUUAAUAUUGCAUAUAUCUUACUGUAACUUCACAUAAACAUUGUCCAGCAUACAAACAAAGUAUGUGCAGGGGCUGGGCCCAUUAUACAUAAGGUCAAGGUCACCAAGGUGUUAUACUUAGGUUAUUUUUAAGGUUAAAGUUUUUCGGCAACCUUCGUUUUUCUGUCAUAUCUUUAUUACUAUUGCUUAUAUCUUACUGUAACUUCACAUAAACAUUGUCCAGCAUGCCAACAAAGUAUGUGCAGGGGCUGGGCCCAUUAUACUCAAGGUCAAGGUCACAGAGUUGUUAUACAUGGAAUUAUUUUCAUGUUAAAUUUUUUCGAAAGCUUCGUUUAUAGACAUAUCUUUGGUACUUGAAAAGAUAAUGACUUGAAAUUAAAAACAUUUCUUCAUAAUCACCAUCUGCGUGUGGUUACAAUCCCCAUAACUCUUAUUGUAUUUUGACAGAAUUAUGCCCCUUUCAUACUUAAUGUUUUUUGGCAAUCUUCGCUUUCUGGAUAUAACUUUAGUACAAUAUAUGAUAAAGACUUGAAACUUAAAGUUACCUUGAUCAUCAUCAUCUUCAUGUGUGAUAACAAUCCCCAUGACUCUGAUUUGUAUUAUUGACCAAGUUAUGCCCCUUUCAUACUUAAAUUUUUUGACAAACUUCGUUUUCUGGACAUUACUUUGGUACUAUAUAAGAUAAUAACUUGAAACUCAAUUAUAUCUUUACCAUCAUCAUCUGCAUGUGUGUUAACAAUCCCAAUAACUCUAAUUUUUGUUCUUGGCAGAAUUAUGCCCCUUGGUGUAUCUUCCUUUUAAAAGUAGAGGUCUCUUAUUGAGACAUUAUAUUCAUUUUACUGUCAAAUCGCCGGAUAGUGGAGCGUGCUGUCUUACAGACAGCUCUUGUUGCAUUAACUUGGCACAAGGGUAGAUGGCAAUAAAGGGAAUGUGUACAUCCUUCUAUGUGUUCCAGCCUUCUAUUUGUUCCUUUGGCAACAAAUAGUUUGAAAAUUAGACAAAUAAUGACUAAACAGAAUCGUGCAGUAGGUUUUUUUUUUUCUGUGAAACUUAGUAUAUGAGUAGAUGACAGUAUGGAGAACAUGCAUGUUCUUUUAUUAUUUCUUUUUAGCAAUGUUUAAACAUAUUUUAUUGCAAAUGAAUCAAUACAUGUUUAUAAUACAAUUAAACACAUGGAUUAUUUUAACAUAGAUUAAUGAAAAUUGGAAAAGCAUGUUACAUAAUGUAUACAUUGAAAUCAGAAGCAAAAGGGUUGGGCUACAAGUUUUCCCAAUAUUAGCGAUGGCCCUUCCCCAAGAGUAGGUUAAGGUACCAGAUGGAUCUAGAAUUUAGUGUAAACAUAUAUUGUUAUACAGAGAAUGAUGAUACAAAAAAAAAAAAAAAAAAAAAACAAAUGUCUAGUUCAAUGGAGAAAGACAAAAAGCUGAAGAAAGAAAAAAUAACUAAUGAAGAUAGCUCUGACAAAUUGUCCAAAAAUAUGAAAAGAUGGAGCCAUUGAUAACAAAAGAUUCCCCCCCCCCCCCACCCCCCACUGAAAACUUGGUACAGAGAUAGAAGACAAUAUGGAGAACAUUCAUGUUGUCUUCAUUUUCUUUGUCUGACCAUCCAUUCAUCUUCCAGGCUGUCCAUCAGUCAUAAAAACUAUGUGGUAGAUUCUGCCAUAAAAGAAGUAUAAGACAUUUGUUCAUGAAACAUUGAACUUAGGUAGAAAGCAAAAUAUGCACACAUUUUAUUUUGUCCAUUCAUCCAUCUGUCCAUCAGUCCAUAACAAAUAUAGAUCCUGCUUUAAUUUCAAAAGCAGAUAUCCGAGAGAAACCUGGUUUAUUGAUUGGGGUUUAAUUAGUCUUCAAUAUACAAAAUUGUGAUUCAUUAGUCAGCAAAUGUGACAAAUGCACUUUCUGUGCAGGGUAAUAGUCUAGUUUUGCUGUAAUGAGUUUGUGCCAAAGGUUAAAGGAAAAAAGUUUAAGGAAGCUAAAACAACUGCUGACAUGUAGAUAUGAAAGCAUAUAUCUAGCUUUAUGCAGCGUCUUGCUGUACAUGUUCAGGUACCACUGCCCAGUUAAAUAUUUUUGAGUAAAUAUUUUACAUUACCGUUUUCCAGCUUUCGUUUUCUUUAUUUCAACAAUAACUUGGAAUUCUAUAAUUUGUAAAUCCCUAAUUGUUAAAGAUUCUGACAUGGAAGUGAAUUCCAUAAAUUAUGUCCCUCCCAUCAGUAGAUAUUAUAUGUUUGUGCCAUAGUCUGUAGCCAUUGAUAUGUUAGAAUAAUUUGUACUUUUAUCCUGGUGUAAUCCUGUCUAUAUAUUGUAUAUGAACUUCUCUUGUUUCUUGAAUACUCGAGAUCAUGUUUUUAGAAAGUAGUGUUUCCUACUGCAGAAGAGAGUUCUCUAAUAAUGUGUUGUAAAUUUUUAUCUUUUACAUGCCUGUUUUUGAAAAAUGGACUAAUUAUGGAAUGAUGCUGUCUAUCCAGUUUCCAUUUUUGGACUCUUUAAGUGAGAAAGGAUAAUAGCUACAGUUUUCUAACUUGAUAGGGUGAUCAAGAAUUACUUGAGGAGGAUCCCUACUGUUUUUUUUUGUCAAUAGGUCAAGAUCACAAUGACCAGGAGACUGUAAAUGGGUUACAGAAAAAAAGUCAUAAAGUGUAACAGCUGUGGCUUUUAAAGGUAACAUAGUGACUAAGUACCACUGGAGGAAGAUUCCUAAUGAUUUGAGGGUCAAUGGCUCACAGUUCAAGGUCACAGGGAUCUGAAAUAAGUUGUGGUAUUUUUUGUGUGUUUCAGCUUUGAUAUACUUUACAGGUUGAAUAAGCAUCACUUGAGGAGGAUGUUGAAUAGGUCAAAGGUCGAGGUCACAGUGACCUCGAGACUUAACCUGGCUUUUGAACAAUAAGUCAUCCUCCACUGCACAAAUGCUUCAAGUUUAUAUUGCCUUGUCACAUUCUGCUUGUGAAUAGGCAUAUUAUACCCAGUUUUUUAUAUGUUUGUAUGCCUUUUAUUUGUAUUUCUCCUUAUUCUUUGUGUUUGUGAAUUUUUGUAGAUGAACAAAUAUACCUAGUCCAAGGGUGGUCAAGGGUAAAGAAUUGGUGUGGGGUAGGGGGAUAUUACUUUAAUUGAAACUCCUUCAGAACAUUCCUUAUAUAAAGAUGCUCAGUGCAACAUAUUUAACUGGAAUGGGAAUUUAUAAGGUGAAUUAUUCAGCUAAUGCUUUGUUGUUUUUUAUGGCCACUCUUGUUGAUGUGCUUAUUAUUUUGUGUAACUUACUAUUGUAAUGAUUUUAUUUCCUUGUAUGUUGUUCUUGUGAAGAACUGUGUUUAUUCAGCAGAUUCCUGUGAAGUUCAUGAAGUAUAGAGAGUUGUCUUUACCUGAUAUCAAGCAGAGUAGCCGUUCUUUAUCUUAUAUCAAGUAAAAGUUUUGAAGGGCAAACCUCCAGAUGUAAAGCAAACUUUUUGAAAUUAGAAAGUGCCUUUUCAGUAAUUUUAAAAUUAUAAAUUAAGAAUGAAAUGAUUGCAGUUUUCUGUCAGUAUUUAGAUUGAAUGUCUUUUUUUUUUUGUACAUUUAGACUUGUAUAAAAGCAGAGACCUCUGCCAAAUCCAUGAAUUUCCAUUAGUGAUUGUUGGUUCCUGUCUGAAUGCUCAGAAAUAACUUUUAUAUGGCGGACAAUGAUCUUUACUGCUGAUAAAUAGAAUGCCUAAGCUAAAAUGCACUUUGCCUUCCUAUAGAAAUAUAUUAUCUGAUUUUAAUUUGUAUGUCAACAGUUUUCAUCUUUACAGUUAGAACAGUUAGAAACAUUAGUUUGAGCUAUAAUUGAAUGUUCUUUCUGAAAUUUUGGUUGCCGAUUUUGAAAGAUGUGUUUUGAAGGCUGACAAUUUUUGUGUGUAGUUUUGUGAAUGUGAAAUCUGGCCUGCAAUCUUCUGGAACAAAAGUGCAUUUGUUUCCUUGUACUAAUGUUGUUAUAUGGAAAUGAACAGUUUUUAGCUCACCUGAGCCUAAGGCUCAUGGUGAGCUUUUGUGACCAUUCAGUGUCCGUUGUGUGUCGUGGUUCUGUCAACAUUUUCUAAAAAUAUCUUCUUCUUGAAAACCACUGGGCAGAAUUACACCAAACUCCACAGGAAUGAUCCUUGGGUGGUCCCCCUUCAGAAUUGUUCAAAGAAUUGAAUUCCAUGCAGAACUCGAAAAACUUUAAAAAGCUUCUUGUCCAAAACUGCAAGGUGUGUAGCCUUGAUAUUUGGUUUGUGACAUCAUCUAAUGGUCCUCUAUAAAGUUUGUUCAAAUUAUGCCCCUGUGGUGAAAAGAGGCCCUGCCCUUGGAUCCCAAGUUUAACAUAGACUUAUAUAGGAAAAAAAAUUAAAAUCUUCUUGUCUGAAAGUCCAAGGCCUAGGUCUUUGAUAUUUGGUAUGUAGCAUUGCCUAGUUGAUCUCUAACAAGAUUGUUCAAAUUUAUGCUCUUGGGUGAAAAGAGGCCCCACCCUGGGGGUCACUUGUUAUAUGAGUUAUAUAGGAAAAAAUACUUCGAAAAUUGUGAGAUCAUAUUUCCUAGACUGUUUAAUUAUAAUUGCCUGAUGACCCCAAGCCAUUAGGGUUCACCUGACUGUGACCUUGACCUGUUGACCUACUUUCUUGAUUUUUAAGAUACAGCCUUGAAAUUUAGAUGACAUGUACAGUUUUGCACUCUGAUCUUAAAACUGACUUUCAUUGACCACGAAUGUGACCUACUUUUUAAAUAUUUUACCAUCAGUUUUCCAUUUGAAACAUGUGGCUCGUAUUACUCAGGUGAGCGAUCCUGGGUCAUCAUGACCCUCUUGUUUUGUUUACAUAGAGAACAAAUAGUAAAUGUAAAUAAUUAACAACAGUCUGUGCACAUGGAUGGGUCACACAAUUGAAAUGUUAUGUUAUUAGCUUUGUUUGGUAUCCUGCGUGUACCAGCUUUAAUAAUACUGAUUUAUGAUUCGAUAUAUGAUCUGGCAAUCUAUUUUAAUGUGUAUCUGGAGGAAUGCCCAGGUAAGACACAAAGUAGAUUUUAUCAUUUACAAUACCACUUGCUAUAUUGAAAGUUGUCAUUUCUGCAUAAAAGAAAAGUAAAUAUAUAUUUUUCAUCCUUUUUCUUCAAAAAGCAGGGCAUUAAAUAGUUGAACUUGUAAAGAAAUGUUUCAUUUUAUACAGAAAUGAUUUCUUCACAAAGAUGUGUGUAUGUGUCAUUGUUUUGUCUUAUAAAACAUGCAUAAUAUUGUUUAUAAUUGCCUAUAGGUUUGUAAUAGCAGUUGAAACUACCUGUUGGACUAUAUUGGAUAAAUCCGAGCUGCUAUUUGUCCAAAACACAGGAUGAUGCCUUAGGUUGACACAAAUUAUACAUGCUUGAUAAACAGAUUUUUAUGUACUAUCACCAUAUAUACCUGCAUAGAUAUAGAGAUUGAGAUUUCAGAAUGUGUAAAUGUAUGGGUUAAUUGGAAAAAUUACUUUUCACAGCCGCAAAUGCAAAAAGAUGCUCUCUGAAACUGUAUCAAACUGUCCUGCUAGUGGGACAUAUUUUUAUGGAUUUUAUGGUUGCAUCUAUUCAUGAGUACAGUUGAAACUUUAUAUCACAAACUCACUUAUCUCAAAAUACUGGAUAUCUCGAAGACAGUCCUGAAAACAGGUGCACAUGAUAUCAUUAUGUUAAAUUCUGGUUGUCGAAGUAAAACAUUCAAUCCCCUGAAAUCUGAGAAACCCCCAAGUUUCAGUUGUAGUUGUUUUCGCCUCAACCAUGAAAUUUCGUGCCCACAAAAUGAACAGUUCAGAAAGUUUUUUUUACUGGCAUCGAUUUAUGUUUUAACAUACCUGAUCCAUUUACAUAUGAAGAAAAUCUUUCCCAUACAUAUACAUGGGUGGAAUUUCAACCUCGUUAGUAAUCACCAUGUUUCUUUGUUAUACAAAAAAAGAAAGGAGCUGUGCUCUUGUUCUUUUAGAUGCACCAUUAUAAUGUUGUUUAGGUAUCUAAGCAAAAUUUGUUGUUGACGAGAUGUCUUAUUAUGUUAAUAAGCAUCGUCAACCUUGUUGUUUUUGUUUACAGAUGAAAGACUUGUAUAUCAAAAUAAAGUAAUAAAAAAGCAA